GAUGAACGCUGGCGGCGUGCUUAACACAUGCAAGUCGAACGAAACACCUUAUUUGAUUUUCUUCGGAACUGAAGAUUUGGUGAUUGAGUGGCGGACGGGUGAGUAACGCGUGGGUAACCUACCCUGUACAGGGGGAUAACAGUCAGAAAUGACUGCUAAUACCGCAUAAGACCACAGCACCGCAUGGUGCAGGGGUAAAAACUCCGGUGGUACAGGAUGGACCCGCGUCUGAUUAGCUGGUUGGUGAGGUAACGGCUCACCAAGGCGACGAUCAGUAGCCGGCUUGAGAGAGUGAACGGCCACAUUGGGACUGAGACACGGCCCAAACUCCUACGGGAGGCAGCAGUGGGGAAUAUUGCAAAAUGGGGGAAAGCCUGAUGCAGCGACGCCGCGUGAGUGAAGAAGUAUUUCGGUAUGUAAAGCUCUAUCAGCAGGGAAGAAAAUGACGGUACCUGACUAAGAAGCCCCGGCUAACUACGUG
rnacentral:rRNA from 1 species